GGGGGGGGGGGUCACUUUACCCUUUUAAACGGUAUGUAUCUCUUAGCCUCAGUCAUAAGACUCGUUAAAGUCCAUGAUGCAUUUAUCGAUGUUGAUUAAUCGCAGAUUUCCUCUGAAUUUGUCAUAAUUGCCAUGACCAAAAAGCCAAAUGUUGCGUUGAAAACACAAAGAAAAGGAAAUGGGUUGGUUGACAAGUCCGAAGACAGGGCAAAGAUAGCGUAUAUAUUGACCAAGAAAACAUUCGCUGGACAGAACGGAAGAGAUGCUAACAGUCAUUACAUCUAGUAAAGAAGAUGAGUUUUCGGUAUAGUGGGUUGGCUCAUUGAUGCCUUGAUACAUAUCAAAGGUCGUUAUCCUUUUGUUAAGUCGUACAAAUUUUGCAUUAUAGCUGAAAAGUGUUGCAUUGAAGUCGCCUGUAAUAAUGAUAUUUUUAUAUUUUAUAUUGGUAUUGAAAGUGAGUUCAAUAGAGUAUUCAAUAUCUCCCCAUACUGAGCCCGGUGAAUUGGGUGACCUAUAGAAUGUGCCAUACAGAUACUCCAUGCCUUUGAUGAGGAGUUCGAUCCAUACAUAUUCGAUUGUUGCUAUUUCAAGUUCGGAUCGUCGCUUAAAUUAAAAGCUAUUCCUGACAUAUACCGCUACCACCCACCCCCUCCUUGCGUGUUGUUUCUACAGUAGCAAUACAUUGUAGAGAGUAUGUGAGCGGAUCUAACAUCUAAUUUUAAUUAGAUUCUGAUUAUUCGGGAGUAGGACCCGGGUUAAGUUCAAUAUCCCCUGAGAGCACAAAUACUAAUAUCAAAACUUACAGAGCUAUAUGAAUCCGUACUUAUAGAUAUCUCUAAUAAUGUUUUAUCAUAGUUUAGAAGUCUAAUGAUGAUAUAAUAUAUGUGACAUAACACCUGACAUGUAUUCGAACUAUAUUAUAUACGAUGAUUAACCUUGUUUUCUAUGAAAUGCAUAUAAAAUCCAGUAUGCAAUGACAAUAGUACAUCCUCAUAACAUGUCUUGAUCGUGUGCAGGAUUGGACAAAACAAGAUGGCAGACGGCAUUUCCAAACAAAGGUAUCAAGCCCAAGAACUUCAUUCCAUGAGAUGGGUACACUUCGAAUGUGCGAAAUUUGUGGUGAGGAAUUCAAGACCAAUUCUGAAUUGCGUAGGCAUGUAAAAAGGAAACAUCAAUCAGAGAAAUUGUCUUCGUUUGUGACCAGUGCAACACACGCUUUUGCACAUUAUAAAAGAAACAUGAAGUAAAAAAAAUUACAUUGUUUUCUGAAUACACGAAGUGCAUACAUAUACCAUGGCAGCCGUUUUAUAUAUCCGUUUAUGUACAUUAUGAAACGAUUAUUUUUACGGUAUUAUGCUUUGUUUUACAGAGAUACUACUAAUCUUUUACAUUGCAUUUUACACAUGUUGAUUUGUUAUUUCAUUGAACCAGAAGUGUUCUUAAGUUUUACUUGUUAUUAAAUAUAUUUCAAUGUUA